rnacentral:rRNA from 1 species
AGGACGAACGCUGGCGGCGUGCCUAACACAUGCAAGUGGAGCGACGAACCAGGCUUCGGCCUGGGGCAAAGCCGCGAACGGGUGAGUAACACGUGGGUAACCUGCCCCGAUGAUCGGGACAACCCGAGGAAACUCGGGCUAAUACCGAAUGUGCCCUCCGACCAUAAGGUCGCUGGGGAAAGGAAGCUUCGGCCUCCGCAUCGGGAUGGGCCCGCGGCCCAUUAGCUUGUUGGUGAGGUAACGGCUCACCAAGGCUGCGAUGGGUAGCUGGUCUGAGAGGACGACCAGCCACACUGGAACUGAGACACGGUCCAGACACCUACGGGUGGCAGCAGUCGAGAAUUUUUCUCAAUGGGGGCAACCCUGAAGGAGCGACGCCGCGUGGAGGAUGAAGGCUUUCGGGUUGUAAACUCCUGUCAUUUGGGAACAAGCCUUACGUUAACUGCGUGGAGGUUUGAUAGUACCGAAAGAGGAAGAGACGGCUAACUCUGCGCAGCAGCCGCGGU